GAAUAUUGGACAAUGGGCGAAAGCCUGAUCCAGCCAUGCAGCGUGAGUGAAGAAGGUCUUCGGAUUGUAAACCUAUUUUAGUUGGGAGGAAGGGCAGUCAGCGAGUACUUUGCUGUUUUGACGUUAUCGACAGACUAAGCACAGCAUAACUCUGUGACAGCCGCCGCGGUGAUACAGAGGGUGCAAGCGUUAAUCGGAAUUACUGGGAGUAAAGCGCGCGUAGGUGGUUCGUUAAGUUGGAUGUGAAAUCCCCGGGCUCAACCUGGGAACUGCAUCAAUAACUGGCGAGCUAGAGUAGGGCAGAGGGUGGUGGAAUUUCCUGUGUAGCGGUGAAAUGCGUAGAUAUAGGAAGGAACACCAGUGGCGAAGGCGACCACCUGGGCUCAUACUGACACUGAGGUGCGAAAGCGUGGGGAGCAAACA
rnacentral:rRNA from 1 species